rnacentral:lncRNA from 1 species
AUACAAGUGGAUUUGUUAAAUGGCUUUUCCCUAGAUGAAGUAGGUCAAACCCGGGCCUGCAUCUCCGUAAGGAGGCAAUAAUGCCUGGUAGCAUUACCAGAGGGUAAGACGGAGAAGUACUUUGGAGAAAUUAGAAACUUCCCUAGUACUUGUUAUGAAAGCUCAAACUCUUUAAAAUAAUGGAAAUGUCAUAAAUCAGGCAGAUUCACUUUUGCCUGAGGAUGGCUUGAAGGAGGCUGCUGUGAGCUCUUUAGUGAUUUGUCUGACACAGGCUACAGGCAAAUUUAAAGGUGACCAACUUAGCAAGAAACAAGGCAAUUGAAAGAUCGGUUUCCUACCUUGACCAGCUAAUGCCUGCAAGAGCAGACCGAAUGGCUGAAUUCCAACCCGAUUCCAGGAAUACUGUUUGCUGACCUGCUGUCUUAAGUCAGUGCUGUGAUUCCUGCAAAAGACGGCAGAGUCAGGGUGGGGAAAUGAGCAGGUGCUGCUGUUGGCGGUGGGUCUAAACACCCCACCACACAUUUGUUUGCAUCACUUGUCCAGGACUAUGAUUCUGGCACUAUUUUCCUGGAUGUUAUACAAUGUCAAAGGGGAAGGUGGAUGGUUCCCACCAAGACAGAAGCACCUUCUUAUUUCAGAUGCUAUCUUCUUGGUCUGCUGUGCUGUGUAACAAAAAUGUAUCAACCCCAAGCAGAGUUAAGGCCAGAGCUGGGAUGCUGUGGUAGGCUGAAAAACACCCUGGAAAAGAUAUCCAUGUCCUAAUCCCUGGAACCAUUGAAUGUUUCCUUAUAUGGAAAAAAUGUGGGGAGCCUUUGCUAAUGUGAUUAAAUUAAGGAUCCUGAGAUCGUGACGGGGCGGUUAUUCUGGAUUCCCCAGGUGGGCUCUAAAUGCAAUCACUGGCAUCUUUGUAAAAGGAAGGCAGAGGGAGAUUAUUUCACAUCCAUAGAGGAGGAGGUUGUAUUAGUUCGUUCUCACACUGCUAUAAAGACACUACCCAAGACUGGGUAAUUUACAAACAAAGGAGAUUUAGUUGACUCACAGUUCCACAUGGCUGGGGAAGCCUCAUGAAACAUACAAUCAUGGCAGAAGGGGAAGCAGGCAUGUCUUACAUGGCAGCAGGCGAGAGAGAGAGAGAGAGAGAAAGAGAGAGAGAGGAAAAACUGCCUUAUAAAACCAUCAGAGCUUGUGAGAACUCACUCACUAUCAUGAAAACAGCAUGAGGGACACCGCCCCCAUGAUCCAAUCACCUUCCACCUCAUCCCUCCCUUGACAGGUGGGGAUUAUGGGGAUUACAAUUUGAGAUGAGAUUUGGGUGGGGACACGGACCCAAACCAUAUCAGAGGUCAUAUGACGACGGAGCAGAGAAACAACUGAAGAUGCUGGCCUUGAAAACUAAAGUGGCAUGGCCACAAGCCAAGGAAUGCCAGCAGUCAGCAGAAAGCAGAAGAGGCAAGACACAGAGUCUACCCUAUAGCCUCCUGAGAAAGCUCAGUGUUGCUGACACCUUGAGUUUGACCCAGUGAUGCUGAUGUCUGACUUCUGGCUUCCAGAACUGUGAGAGAAUAAAUUUCUGUCAUUUU